UCCACGCCCUAAACGAUGCACACUAGUUGUUGCGAUGCUCGUCAUUGCAGUAAUACAGUUAACACAUUAAGUGUGCCGCCUGGGGAGUACGGUCGCAAGAUUAAAACUCAAAGGAAUAGACGGGGACCCGCACAAGCGGUGGAGCAUGUGGUUUAAUUCGAAAAUACGCGAAGAACCUUACCUAGACUUGAAAUCCUUGGAAUCCUGUAGAGAUACGGGAGUGCUAGUUUACU
rnacentral:rRNA from 1 species